rnacentral:tRNA from 1 species
AUUUAUUUAAUAUAACAAGUAUAUUUGAUUUCCAAUCAAAAAGUCUUAAUAAAAAGAAUAAAUA